CUAAGUAAUGGGUUUUAGACAUUAAAUAAGAAAAAAAAAAUGGUUCUCCCAGGGCGAGGCUCAUCCAUUGCACUCCGGGUGUGCUGACCCCUGCGAUUUCCCCAAAUGCAGGAAACUCGACUGCAUAUUUUGUGGUAGUGGGGGACUGCGUUCGCACUCUCCCCUG
ensembl:snRNA U1 U1 spliceosomal RNA